rnacentral:lncRNA from 1 species
AGAAGCUGCAGCUGCCUGGUACUCAGUACAAGCACACUCCUUGUAGAUUUUUUGUACUGACACAAUGUCUCCCUGUACUCAUCUCAGGCCCCAUGUCUCCCUGCACCCACCUCAGCCCCCUGCACCCACCACAGCCCCCAUGUCUCCCUCCCUGCACCCAACACAGCCCCCCUGCACUCACCACAGACUCCAUGUCUCCCUGCACACAAAACAGCCAUCACAGCUCCAUGUCUCCCUACACCCAACACAGCCUCCUGCACCCAUCUGUGCCCCCUGCACCCACCUCAGGGCCCAUGUCUCCCUGCACCAACCUCAGGUCCCAUGUCGCCCUGCACCCACCUCAACCCCCCUUCACCGAUCACAGCCCCUAUGUCUUCCUCCAUGCACCCAACCCAGCCCCCCUGCACUCACCACAGCCUCCAUGUCUCCCUGCACACAACACAGCCAUCACAGCCCCCAUGUCUCCCUCCACCCAACACAGCCCCCUGCACCCAUCUGUGCCCCCUGCACCCAUCUCAGGACCCAUGUCUCCCUGCACCAACCUCAGCCCCACUGCACCCAUCUCAGGUCCCAUGUCUCCCUGCACCCACCUCAACCCCCCUGCACCCAUCACAGCCCCCAUGUCUUCCUCCCUGCACCCAACCCAGCCCCCCUGCACUCACCACAGCCACCAUGUCUCCCUGCACCCACCUCAACCCCCCUGCACCCAUCACAGCCCCCAUGUCUCCCUCCACCCAACACAGCCUCCUGCACCCAUCUGUGCCCCCUCAGGGCCCAUGUUUCCCUGCACCAACCUCAGCCCCCCUGCACCUACCUCAGGCCCCAUGUCUCCCUGCACCCACCUCAACCCCCCUGCACUGAUCACAGCCCCCAUGUCUUCCUCCCUGCACCAAACCAAGCCCCGAUGUCUCCCUGCACACAACACAGCCCCACUGCACAAAUCACAGUCCCCAUGUCUCCCUACACCCAUACAGCCUCCUGCAUCCAUCUGUGCCCCCUGCACCCACCUCAGGGCCCAUGUCUCCCUGCAUCAACCUCAGGCCCCAUGUCUCCCUGCACCUACCUCAACCCCCCUGCACCCAUCACAACCCCCAUGUCUCCCUCCCUGCACCCAACACAGUCCCCCUGCACCCAACACAGCCCCCCUGCACCCAUCACCCAUGUCUCUCUACACCUACCUCUGCUCACCGCAUUAACUUCAUCCCCCCUGGCCCCUGCACCCCAUCAACCCCAUGUUUCCCUGCACGCACCUCACACACUUGCAAUUAUUACAAUCAUUUAUAUAGCACCAACAUAUUCUGAUUUGCUGUAGAGCAGGUAAAACAAGAUAAAUGAAUAAUUCUAACACAACUCAUUGAAAUACAGGAACACAACAUCACUAGCAGCAUCCCACACACGCAACCCCAGAAGUAGCCUCCAAAUAUGUAUUUCAAGGCUACUUGCAUGGCUGCACAUGUGAGGGACACUGCUUGUGAUAUCAUCAGAAAAUACAGUGGGAACGUGUAAUUAAAUAGGCUUUAUUUUAUUUAAUAGGGGGAUGUGUGACAGCAACUGUUACUCAUCCAAAACCAGUGUUUUAUUAAAAGACUGUUUUUGGUUGGAUCAACCCCUUAAAAGUAAAGUAAAGUUUGGGGGCCCUGCUGGCGUGGAAGUCAUGACUGUGUGGCUCUCACACAGCCAUUCUGGGUGCUGGGCAGCAUGCACAUAAUUAAACAACGGAUAGAUCAGCGCUAAGUGACCAGACAGAAAGUUAUUUUUAAACCAGGCAGAAAUACCUAAAGUUUGAGUCUCCCUCAAAAACCUUCAAAUAGAAAGAGUGUACACAAUAGAAUAGAGGUUAGGUUAAACUUUUUAUCACCACUUGAGGAAGCCCUGUGAUGGUGAAACGCGUUUGGUUUGUUUUUACUUAUCAUUGCUUUAUUAAAGGAAUAUGAGCCAUUUUACACUUUUGUGCCACCUUUUUUACUUUUAUUUAUUUAUUUGUUUUAACCUAGUCACCUAGAAUUUUGGAGAACUUUUCACCAAAAAAAUCUCAGGUGGGGAUUAUACAACCCAAACCUAGAAAACGGAGCAGUAGUUCCUGCUUAAAUAAAUGUGCGUAUAAGACCUUGCCACUGAUUAUCUAUACCAAUUAUAUACAGAUAGCACUAUUUUUUGCCUUGUCUUUUUCUUUUUGGGACACCUCAACUCUGAGAUACCGUCACCUACAUCCUACCGGGGGGAUCAACACCAUGAAUGCGAAUUACACCUGAGCUUGUAGUAGCUCUCCAAUAUGUGAGCAGGAUUACUACAUACCGUAUAUUCUACAUCAUCUGUUUGUGAUGUAUUAUACUAUUCUAGUUUCUUUUGUUUUCCUAUGGUCAAAUCGGAUUAAAAGAAGCAGUCAUCUCCAGAUUUCCACAAGAAUAUCAACUCCAGCUAUAAAAAGAUCCUGUCCUAAUCAUUUAUGCAUCUCAUAUUUUGGACUUUUUAUUAUUUUUUUAAUAGCUCAUAUAUUGGACUUCUAUUUUUUUCUGAUAGUUUUUUUUACUAUAUUUAGGAUUAUUUUAAUAUAUCCUUCAUUUGUGGCGUAACUUAACCUCUAUUCUAGCAUGCACAUAAUACCUGUAUGAGAACAGCACAAAGAAGAGGGGGAAAAGUAGUAGUGGCAAAAAAAAAAACCUGCACCAGGAGGUGGCCCCCAAUCCCCCGCCGCCAAGGACCCUGCCAGCCCAUCCCCGCAUGGGCCAAGCUGUUGAUAAAGUUCAGUGUAUGUGACACACAUCCAACAGUUCCAGUUCACUCCGUCCUCUGUCAUGUAAGUUUCAUUUUAUUAUUUGCUUCACAUCACUUUUGAAUUAUGAUGGAAGAAUAAAGGCAAACCUUUUCUCUUGAUGAAUUUUCCCAUUUUCCUGGAUUAUGUUAAAUGAUUCUUUCAAGCUUGAUGCUUCUACUAUGUAAUAAGUAAUUAUUCUGAACUUUAUAUAAAGACACCAGGCGUUUCAGCAUUACGCACUUGUCUGUAUAUAUGGGUUAUUCCAGGUUAGUCCAUGGAUCCUUGGCAACCUAUUCUAGAUUCUUAGGUCUUCCCAGAUCCCUGAUAUCUUGAUUAUGUUAUGGUCUGAUUCAUACAUCGAGAAUUAAUGGCACUGUCAUGCCAAAAGCAUGAGUUGGUGUUGGAUUUGUGUUGAGAAAUGUUAAGAGUUGUUUUUUUGUAAACCUUGCGAUUACAUUUAUUGUGGUCUUUGAUCUUGCACCAGGCCUAGACCAUAAAACAUCUCGAUAGCCAUCACCAGAGCUGGACACAAGGAAUUGCAUAGAGUGGGCAAUAAACUGCCAGAACAACCCCCUCUGUUUUCCCCCAGGGGUCUGCCCACUAAUAAACAACUGGUUUAGAUAUAUAAUGAGGGUGCUGGACUAUCCAGACUAUCCAAUUAUUAAUUUUUUCUUUGGUCAGCAACUUCUAGGAGACCUAUACCAUCUAAGACUCCCACAAGAAUUCUAUAUGGGGUAAAUACAUGUAAGGAAUUUCUUGUGUUUUCUCCUAUUUUAUUUUAUGUACUGUUUUGCAAUUUGUUAUCUGUAUGUCAUUUAUUUCUAUAUUUUGUACUCAGCAC